GCUCAUUAAAUCAGUUAUCGUUUAUUUGAUAGUACCUUACUACUUGGAUAACCGUGGUAAUUCUAGAGCUAAUACAUGCUGAAAACCCCGACUUCGGAAGGGGUGUAUUUAUUAGAUAAAAAACCAAUGCCCUUCGGGGCUUCUUGGUGAUUCAUAAUAACUUCUCAGAUCGCAUGGCCUUGCGCCGGCGACGGUUCAUUCAAAUUUCUGCCCUAUCAACUUUCGAUGGUAAGGUAUUGGCUUACCAUGGUUUCAACGGGUAACGGGGAAUUAGGGUUCGAUUCCGGAGAGGGAGCCUGAGAAACGGCUACCACAUCCAAGGAAGGCAGCAGGCGCGCAAAUUACCCAAUCCCGACACGGGGAGGUAGUGACAAUAAAUACUGAUACAGGGCUCUUUUGGGUCUUGUAAUUGGAAUGAGUACAAUUUAAACCUCUUAACGAGGAACAAUUGGAGGGCAAGUCUGGUGCCAGCAGCCGCGGUAAUUCCAGCUCCAAUAGCGUAUAUUAAAGUUGUUGCAGUUAAAAAGCUCGUAGUUGAACCUUGGGCCUGGCUGGCAGGUCCGCCUCACCGCGUGUACUUGACCGGCCGGGCCUUUCCUUCUGGAGAACCUCAUGCCCUUCACUGGGUGUGUUGGGGAACCAGGACUUUUACUUUGAAAAAAUUAGAGUGUUCAAAGCAGGCCUUUGCUCGAAUACGUUAGCAUGGAAUAAUAGAAUAGGACGUGCGGUCCUAUUUUGUUGGUUUCUAGGACCGCCGUAAUGAUUAAUAGGGACAGUCGGGGGCAUUAGUAUUCAAUUGUCAGAGGUGAAAUUCUUGGAUUUAUUGAAGACUAACUACUGCGAAAGCAUUUGCCAAGGAUGUUUUCAUUAAUCAGUGAACGAAAGUUAGGGGAUCGAAGACGAUCAGAUACCGUCGUAGUCUUAACCGUAAACUAUGCCGACUAGGGAUCGGGCGAUGUUUCUAUCUUGACUCGCUCGGC
rnacentral:rRNA from 1 species